UACGUAGGGUGCGAGCGUUAAUCGGAAUUACUGGGCGUAAAGCGUGCGCAGGCGGUGAGCUGUGUCCGAUGUGAAAGCCCCGGGCUUAACCUGGGAAUGGCAUUGGAAACUGGCUCGCUGGAGUGUGGCAGAGGGGGGUGGAAUUCCGCGUGUAGCAGUGAAAUGCGUAGAGAUGCGGAGGAACACCGAUGGCGAAGGCAGCCCCCUGGGCUAACACUGACGCUCAGGCACGAAAGCGUGGGGAGCGAACAGG
rnacentral:rRNA from 1 species